UACGGAGGGGGCUAGCGUUGUUCGGAAUUACUGGGCGUAAAGCGCGCGCAGGUGGUCUUUCAAGUCAGUGGUGAAAGCCCGGAGCUCAACUCCGGAAAUGCCAUUGAAACUGUGAGACUUGAGGACGAGAGAGGUGAGUGGAAUUCCCAGUAUAGAGGUGAAAUUCGUAGAUAUUGGGAAGAACACCGGUGGCGAAGGCGGCUCACUGGCUCGUAUCUGACGCUCAGGCGCGACAGCGUGGGGAUCAAACAGG
rnacentral:rRNA from 1 species